rnacentral:lncRNA from 1 species
UUCCAUCGAGCCCAUAAGAAAACACAUUGUUAUUCACGUUUUCUUGUUACCACCAUGGUUUCUAUUUGUCAUGAUAAAACAUCAGAGAGAUGGCAAUAUGAGAUGUAUCGAGAACACGAAGGAAUUGGAGACAUUGGGAGAGGAGCAACCAUUUCUCGACGAAUCCGACAACCUAGUAUAUUCCCGACCACUCUAGGUAGUCCAACAAACAUGCCUCCUAGUAGCACUUGUUAUACAAACAUUUGCUUAAAAACGAUAGGGCCACAAACUUAAUUGACAAGGUCAACGAACUCUUGAUGACGCACACCACCUUGCGGUGCUUUAAGAGCCAUUGCUCAGCUAUUUAAACAAAGUCCAGCUCAUGUGUGGCGCUUCAUCAUUGAUGUGGUGAAGCCAUUCCUCCUCUUGGAGAGAUCACGCUCGUAGUCUUUGGAACAAUACCGUGCAAUUUUUUCCAUUUCUUCGGGCCUCCGGGGCCAUUCUGAUAAAUACUUACUGAAGUUUACAAAACAUGAAUGUCUUUCUUUACAAAAAAAAACAUGAAGACCUUAUACAUAAAUCAAGAAUUCAUUUUUUUGGGCCAUAUAAAUUACGAAUUCAUGGCAUGGAGGAAAAUUUCACCUGCUAUCAUGCAUGGUCACACAAGACUCCUGGCCUAGAAUCCACAAACCAAAUAGGACCUAUAGAAAAGAAAAAUAAACCCGAACGAAUUCACCAACAACUCCCAAAGCCGCAAGCGAGAGAGAGGAAGGGAGAAGAAUAAAAGAAUGAUCGUCGGCCCGUGCCACCGCCUCUGCCGUAAUAUCGACUCUCUGUUGGGUGCUCCUCGCUACCUUGUCGUCCUCCUUCGCCACUGGAGUCGUCGAGAUCCUCCACAGGUAAGGUUUCUCAGAGAACAUAGAGCCCCUCUUAUACUUCCUCCAUCACAGUUUAUAAGACGUGCACGUGUAUCUAGGUCGUCAAUUUGACUUAUAUAAAAUAUAUUGUUUAACAUAAAAAUUAUAUCAUUAAAAAAUAGAACAUCUAAAGUUUCUAAUGAUAUAUUUUUUAUAAUAUAUGUUUCUUAUUAAGUUGGUUAAAUUGACGACCUAGAUACACGUGCAAGCCUUAUAAACUGAAACGGAGGGAGUAUCUAGAAAGUGAUCAACAAACAACUACUCAACCUCUUUUAUCGUACCUUUGUCCUAACAAAUGUUGGUCUCUCUACUUUUUUGUUUAGAAUGUUCUAGUGACCACUGCCUCGAAUUGUGGCUUAUUAUCUAAGUCGCAGAACCGUGUUAUGGUUGUUGUCACUCAUGAUUUGGCUGUUGUCCUUUCUCUCUUGCGGGUUUCCAGUCUUCCGACCAUGCGGACGAGCAUUCUCUCAUCCAUGGACUGCAUUUCCCUUCGUGGAAUGCUUACAUAAUCAUCAUUGAUGACACAACUAUUGACCUCAACCAUGUGUUCAUUGGUCCUUGACUGCGCCCAUCGAAGUGAAGAUCUUUGGUUGGUUUCUAUUUAAAGGUAGGAUGAACAAAAAGGCAACAUGUGCCAGAAGAACAUUGCCGCAAACGCCACUUGCCCUAGAUGUGCCGCCCCUUGUGAAGACGAUUCUCCCCUAGCUCAACUUUGUCCGACAACUUCACAAGUUUAGAUCAAUCCGGGACUUCUUCUUGAUCCUGACUUGUAAUAGAUAUGGAAGUCUAACAUGCCACCUGGCCUAUUCUUCGAGUUCUUUGAAAACUAUGGGAUUCAUGAAAUUCUUUCGUCUUCCAUGUUUAAUUCCAUACGUCCAAGACCACCAUUAGAAACACCGUGCUCAACUUCUUAGUACUGAUAUUCAUAUUUACAUAAAUUACCGUGUGUGACACCGCUAGAUCAUUGAUAUUUCUCUUCUAAGCCCUAGUCACUUCCCUAAUGUAGCGACAUACUAGUCACUUCCCUAAUGUAACAACAUAUUAUGGGUUUUUGUAAUAUAUUCGGGUGGGAAAAGCUCUCCUCCCCGGUGACCGCUGAUUUUUUUUGUUUCACAUGUAACUAAUUGUGCUGAACAUUUCACUAGAGAACAUGAGAAGAACAAAACUAGAUUUUGACACAAAAAAAGACAAAACUCGUGAUGCAUAUGAAAAUUUGAAGAAAUCAACAGAUCUUUCAGUUGGUAUGCACAAGGAUGCCGACAAAAAAGAGAAGCUGAUUGCUGGUAUCAUGCUGGGACAUAUCUGGUACUCUGCACCUAAAUAUAACUUAUGCUUUAAAGUGAAACUUAAUGACAACUAACAAAAGAUAUAAUCAUGCCUUCAUGGGAUCGUGGCAUGUGAUAUAUCAGAUGUACAUGUCCCCUCCUUGUUGUCUCCUUGCUUGGUCUAGCUAUAUAAAUUGUGACUUUGCUAGGCAUAACGUUCCUAUCACUCCUUUUUCCUCAAAGGAUUUUUUUAGCACCAACUACUCCAUGGCAUGAAAGGCCAAACUAUUUAGUAAGACAUAGCAUCUAGCUGCUUCCAUCGAGCCCAUAAGAAAACACAUUGUUAUUCACGUUUUCUUGUUGCCACCACAAUUUCUAUUCGUCAUGGUAAAUCAUCAGAUAGAUGGCAAAUAUAAGAUGUGUCGGAAACAUGAGGGAAUUGGAGACAUCUGGAAAGGAGCAACCAUUUCUCGACAAAUCCGACAACCUAGUAUCUUCUCGACCACUCUAGGUAGUCCAACAAACAUGCCUCCUAGUAGCACCUGGUAUACAACCUUCUGCU